UUUAUUCUCUGUUUUACAUUUUAAUAAUCCAUUCUCGUUCACACAGUUAAUGUGCAUGUGACGCUCAUUCAACUCCUUGUUGCCAAACCAGUUCAAGAUACAACAAGAAAUGAAGAUUUUGAUGAGCUCGAGCAUUCUUCCUCAUUAGUAUUCACACCUGAGUUUGCCAAUGUGGUCAACGUCGAUGGAUUGCAUGAGAAUUAACGGCAAGGUGUUUGUUAUUUGGAAGUGGCAAGUGCUAUACAUCCACAAGACAAGACGGUAAUAAUAGUAAGGGGAAUUGUUGUUCGUUUUCGGCCAACGGAACCCCAGACUAUUCAGACGCAGAGUCUGAAACAGUCACACACCAUACCUUUCAAGGUGAUCGGAUGUAUUAAGGAAAACUAUAUCCAGAAGUACUCUGAAAGCAAGUGUACUUAUUGACGAAGUUGUCCUUGUACCUAUAUAAUUAUAGAAGUACAUGUUGAACCUGACAAUCCUGUGACUCCAAAUGCAAUUGCGUUUUUGGACGUAGUGAAGGAAGCACGGGAUGCUGUGUACGAUGCCCUCAUAAGGAAUGACAUUGCUGUUGUAAAAUUGAAGUGGGUCAAAUAAUUAUGUCAGUGACUGGUAUAUACCGUAUGGGCCCAGGUUUUUUUUUGCUAAAAUAACGAAAGGCGUAUGGCCAAUUAAUGUUAAUUUAAGUACUGUUGCCGCUUAACCUAAUUUUGCGUUGAUCGAUUUCCAAUGAUUGCAUUAAUUUAAUUGUUGAUGUAAUUUAUAAUUGUAACACUCGCACGACUAUAAACAAUCAUGUUCUAAUAGCCGCUCAUGUUCAUUUUUUGUUGUACAUUUCUAUUGAAAUUCGAUCAAGUGCAGCAAUAACAUGCAUCAUAUAAUUAUACACAUUUGAUUAGCUGUUAGCCAUGAAUAAUUAUAUUAAAUGCUCAUGAUUAUCAAUGUCCAAAUUAGUUGUGGUCAGUUAUAUUGCAGUAACUUGUGAGGGAGGAUGAUCAACUGGCACAUUGUAGUAUAUAAUCAAAUGAAGGCAUUUGAUAAACAGUAAUAAUUAAUGGCAACGAGGGAUCCAUUCGUUUGGGACAACUUGACAGUGUAAAGUGUAAAAUGUGCCUCUGAAGAGCAUUCCACAUCUCAUAUCUUCAGUUGUGGAAGCUCUUGAAUGCUUGAUAUCUCCUCAGUGCAAGUGAGAGAUAUCUUUGGUAAUCAGCUGCCCUUCUCAGGAGGAAGGGCGGCUAAUUCAUGAGACUGGCAUGCAAUUAACACAACGGCAGCUAAGGUUAAGUGCUUCGCACCUCCUCUGAUUGCGUUUUGUAUGGAGUUGCAUUUUGUAGGACUGAGGUAACUUUUUCAGAGAGGUGCGUUUUGUAGAGGGGUGCAUUUUAUAUACUAUAGAUGUGUUUUGUGAAGAGGUGCGUUUUUGCGCAUGCUCGCAUAGUGGAGACAAAAAAGAAGGAACGUUAAAUGUUCUUUCUCCACGGCAAACAAAUUUGCUGAUCUCUGCAGACAGACUCGAGUCAACAUGCAAGGGUACUCAAGCCGCAAAGUUGGAGAUGAGCAGAUUCUUCUCCAACUUUGCGGCUUAGGUUUGAGAAGCGGAAGCGACCAGUUAUCAGGGGCUUGCGCCUCUAUACUGCUCUGCAUGUGUCAAAUUCCCUGUACAUGUACAAAGUCAAGACUCUUAACAUGUCUGUUGUAGUUAGUGUUGUGUUCUGGACAAUGACAAUGUAUGUAUUAUGUUAUGUAAUAGUGCAGCUCCUAUAUCGACUGAGCAUGCGCAGUAUUAUGAUCUUGCAUCUUAAACACAUGUUGAACUUAAAAGAGUAGUUUACUGUAGCUCUCACAAUCCUAGCGGCUACAUGGUGUCAGAAGUAGGAUACUCAUCCUCCUUUCAAGUGUAGCAACAUAUCAAGUCAAUUUACCUGGAGAUUUGAAAGUGCAUCUGGGCUAUUCGAGAAGAGUCCAGAAGUCCAGGUAAACAUGCUGAUUUAUUCCAUGGGUGACGAUGCCGAUGAUAUUCUCCGAUCGUUUGGACUGACUGAAGACGAGAAGAAAGUCUACGCUACGGUAAAACAAAAGUUCGAGUUGCACUUUGUGAAGAGAAGGAACACUAGAGAAGGAACACUAUAUUUGAACGGCGAAUCAAUAUGAGGCCUGUGGACGCCUUUGUCACAGAUCUGUAUGACAGUGCUCUACAUGAUGAAAUGAUACGCGAUCGUUUAUGCCAAGUUAUCAGAGAAGCUCCAGUUGGAUGCGGAACUAACACUAGACAAAGCUGUGAAUCAAGUCAGACAAGCUGAAGCAAUUAAGAAACAACAAAUUGGAAGUGGCCAGGCAAGACUUGUAGCUGGUGUGGAAAAUCCUGGCAUGAUCGAACGAGGUGCCCAGCUGUCUGUGGGAAGUGCCAAAAGAAAGUCGCUCAACCGGGAGCGUAGGCACUGUCGAAGAAUGUUGCUGGAAGAUCAAGCUCAAAGUCAACGUACUAAGAGGACCGAGCCAGAAUAAACUGCAGGUACAAGGCAUGUUACAAGCAGAACUGAUACUGAACAAUCAACAAACUGAACAAGUGGUGAAAGAGCUACAACACCCGUUACUACGACAACCAGCACUGGGGCUAUUGUCACGAGUGAGGAGUGUCCAGACAACCCAACCCGAAGUUCUCUUCCCCAAGCGAGGUAGCUCUCGGGAGAAUACCGAAUUCAGCUCAAAGAAAGAGCCAAACCUUUCGCUUUGAGUACGCCAAGAAGGGUAUCUAUCCCCUUACUCCCUGCUGUUAAGAAAGAACUGAACAGAAUGGAACAGCUAGGUGUGAUCUCUCGAGUUGAGGAACUGACGGAGUGGUGUGCCUUAAGAAUACCUCACAAAGCUAAAUACAAACGUCAUGCCAGCUGUUCCCUUGCACAAGCUCGAUAUUUCUCGAAGUUAGAUACUAAUUCUGGUUUCUGGCAGAUACCUCUUGCUCAUCCCUACUCACAACGUUUAUCACGCCUGCGGGCAGAUAUCAGUUCAACAGACUACCUUUCGGGAUCGCUUCAGCCCCCGAGCAUUUCCAAAGCAGAAUGAAAGCAGAAUGACAAACUUGCUAAACGGAGUUGUUUGUCUCAUGAACGACGUGCUAGUUCAUGGAAAAACUCAGGAUGAACACGAUCAGAGACUACACGCUGUACUAAGGACGCUCCUAAACAAAGAGAAGUGUACGUUUUCCAGUACUAACAUUUUCCAGUACUAAUGUCAAGUUUCUCCUUUUCGACAAAGGAAUCAGCUCUGAUCCUGGCAAGAUCAAUGCAAUUCAGAAGAUACCAGAGCCCAAAAAUGUACGCAAAUUCUUGGGAAUGGUGAACCAUCUGACCAAAUUCACCCCUCACCUGGCAGAAAUGACAAAACCUCUGCGGGAACUCCUGCCGAAGAUAAACGCUUGGUGCUGGAGCCACCCCAAAGAGAAGAAGCAAUGACCGAGAGCCCAGUGCUAGCUCAAACAGGAGACACAAUCGUACCAGACGAUGGGUGCUGUCCUCAUGCAAAUGGCAACCUCCGUCCCGUGGCCUACAUCUCAAGGUCUACCGAGCAAAGAUAUGCCCAAAUCGAGAAAGAGCCAUAACAUGGGCCUAACAUGGGCCCCUGUGAAAGAUUCUCCGAUUAUCUUACUUUCACGUUGAAACCGACCACAAACAACCGACCACAAACCACUUGUUCCGCUUAUCAGUACAAAACUCCUCGAUGAGUUACCAUUACGUGUUGACUAAUUCACCAUUACCCGGGAAAGAUUUGGUGACAGCCCCUGUCUCAGAGUCAGAAAAACAUCGGGAAGCAAGUGGAAAUGUAUAUUCCACAAGCUGUCAGCCAGCUGUUAUCCGAAAAGCAUAGCAAAUGACCCAGCAAGAUGACCCUGAGUGGCCAACAACUUGGUUGGCCAACUAGAGUCUAUGGAACACUCAUAAAGUGACGCUAGCACCGGGACUAGCAAUAGAAGAAGGAAUCCUGAUAAGAGUCGUAAUGCCAGCCGAUCUCCAGAAAGAAACGCUGCACACUGGUCAUCAAGGUAUCCGCAAUGCAAUCGGUUUGGUGGCCAGGUUUAUCCACUCAGUUGGAGCAGAUCGUGCGAGACUGUCAGACACAGAGAGCAGAACCACUCCAACCAACCCCAAUUCGACCAUGGAAGAAAGUUGCCACCAACUUAUUCGAAUGGAAAAAGCCACCUACCCUGGACUCAUUGGAUUGAGAUGAGUUUACUUCAAAGCCUCACGUCAGAAUCUAUCAUUCUAUCAUUCAACACAUGAAGUCCAUCUUUGCACGGCAUGGAAUACUGCGAUUUCAGUACAUUUUGCAAUGUUGUACGUGUGGGUUACCUGCGCAUGCGCAUGCGUUAGACCUCGUGGUCGUUCACAGUGAAGAUUCUGGAAACCAGUACUAAUUUGUACCCUGCUUUAGUGUCUCUCAGUCUGGCUUGCUGAUCAACAUGUCUAACUCUCAGUCUAGGUGUGGUACAUCUUUUCGUGUUAUAACUAGCAAUCAAGGUCAAGUCCUAGCAAAUAUAGUACAGAAUUCUACUUGUCAUCAGCCUCCUGGUGUUUCUCAACCUCAAAAGGUAUUAAAUAAUUGUGUACUGUCUGUAAGAUAUAGAUAUAAUAAUUAUGUCAUGUUCCCGAUAACAGCACCUGUUUAUCAGUACAAAGUUAACGUCUUGACUCCUGUAAAGCGCAAGAAAGCAAUAACAAGACAACUACAUGAUUUCAAAGGAAAAUUUGAAAGUGUUUCUCAAUUAAAAACACAAAUUGAUACUGAACUCGGGGAUGAGUUACCUAACAGUUCAGUAGAUGUGGGCUACUUCGAUGGGCGUCAAUCUGCGAAGGUGUUGCUUGUUUCAGCCAAAGAUCUCAAGGUUAUGUACGAAAAAGCAAAUAGUUCUUGUGAGAUAUCUUUCUGGGUGCAAACAUGUGAAGAUAUAGAUGCUGAAAAAGAUAGUGAUAUAAAUCCAGAACCUAGUAGAAAGAAAGGAAAGCAGCAAUAACGCAGAGGAUAAACUUGAGGAGAUAUAUGGCAAGCUUAAGAAUCAGCAUGACGAAUCGACCUACAAUACACCUGAUUCAGUGUGGUACCCAUGACGACUACUCCACAUGUGCCAAUGAUUACUGGAAUGCCUCAGAAAUGCCUGAAAAAGGACUCCCUUGCUGAAACCUUUGCUGGAGCUGCUGAAGCAAUUGCCAAAGCGUUUUCAACUCCUCAAAAUCGUCCAGCCGCUUCGAGUUCAAGACCUGAUUCGGGAAUUGUAGGAGUUUCACCUGGAAAAUGCACUGAUUUAAGAUCAAAGAAUUUACAACAACUACGGUUCCUACAAGAACUUUUUGAGGACAACAUUAUCUCGGCCUCUCAACUUGCUGAACAAAAGGCUAUUGUUUUUGAUGCUCUACGUAACCUUACAUAAUAUUCUUUUGUCAUUCAUGUACAGGUACAGGUAUAUGUUACAGUAAAGAUUAAUGUUUUGUAAUGAUUCAUUCAUGCAAGUACAAUGUUAUGUGAUAAACUUAGAACAUACAAAACAGCAAGUGAUAUAAGUCUGUUCAGUAUUUAGAACUGUAUAUUCCACACGAUUCAAUCCAUGCUUCACAGUCUUCUUUUGUUAUUGUUGAAAAUGCAGCUAGUAGUCUCGAUAUCCAUUGUAGCACUCAAUUCCAGUUCCAUUAGCCUGAUUGACGACUUAACUUUACUGAAAAGCAUCUCAAUGGGGUUAUAAUCAGGGCUGUAGGGAGGGAGAUAAUGGACCAGACUUCCCAUCUCACGAAUAACACUGGCUACACCUGUUGCCUAGCCAGUUACGUGAUGUACUGAACAGUUAUCCUUUAUUACAACGCUAUUCGAAUUAUACCCAUCGAAAGUCAUGAGGUGUGGUAAUAACUGCUUUUCAAUGAAAUCGACAUAGACAUCUCCAUUAACAGACCCACGUACAAUCUUAAGAUCUACAAUACCAUUGAUUGACAUAGCUGCAAUCGCUGAAACACGCUCGCCUCUCACAAGUAGUUUUUGGCAUUUGACAGGCAUGCCUCGCACUCCAUAUCCAUACUUACGGAGAGCAUUUCGUCGGUCACAGCCAGUCUCGUCAAUGAAAAUAGGAAAAUGAUCUUCGUACAUUGAAACUUCACUGACAUAACUAGCUCUAAGUUCUUCAUCUCUCUGUGAAGCUACUAAUUGCAUCUUCUUUCUACUGAAAUUAUUCUUCUUCAGAAAAGUGCACAGAGAUGAAAGGCUGAUGCUUAAACCAAACAUCCAGCUUAAUUCAUACUGGAUUUCCCACAGAUAGAUCCCAGGCUUAUCUAAAACAAGCAUAAGCACAGUUAGCUGCACUGGCCUUGUCAUCUUGAUAGGGAGGAGUAUAACUUUUUCAUAACUGUUCCAGUUGUCUGAAAAGUGUUCACAAUCCUGUAAACAGUAGAAGCAUCUACAGACAGAUUUAAAGCAAUAUUUUUCAGGGAAAGCUUUUCAACCUCACGCUGCCACACCAUCCUCCAUCCGAAGGUCUUCACUGUAGGCAGAUGUCCUCUUUGAUUCACAUGAAGUUGAACUUCCUCCUCUCACAGCCAUCAGCUAAAUCUACUGUACUUCGGAGUAAUCUUUGGCUAUAUAAUUCAGAUUCAAACCUUAAUUCUGCGCAUGCGUUAAUUUGCCUUAUUGCAAGGUGUAAAAAAAUCGCAGUACCAGAUGAGGUCAUUUCCGACAAUGGACCCUCUCAGCAAUACACUAAGUUUGCAGAAGACUAUGUACACAAGACAAGCAGCCCCUACCACCCAGAGGGCAGUGAAAACUAUCAAGCCCUACCUAGAUGCUUACCAUUGGAUACAGAGUUGAGAAAGUUGAAGUCAACAGUACCAAUUAUGGUCAACUCGCACCACGCAUUAAACUUUGAGACAAAUUUGAUUCUCACCAUGGAACUUACCACAACUGUAUCCAGGUGACACUGUCUGGGUAAUUGAUCGUAAAGCCACUGGUACAGUCCGUUAAAGAACACAGCAAACGAAACUUCCGGACCUCAGAUGGAAUCUAUACUGGACAUACCGGACAUACCGAACAUGACCAUGUCCCCCCAACACGGGAACCAAAACAAGACGAAGGUGCUGCACAGUCAAAUGAACACGGGGAAGCCACCUCCAGAUCCAGGUGACACUGUCUGGGUAAUUGAUCGUAAAGCCACUGGUACAGUACACUGAAUCUCUAGUCUGACCAAUUAGUCUGACCAAUGGAAAUGUUAGUGACAUCUGAUUUCUCCUGAAGAAAAUGAUGGGCUCAAAUUCGAAAUCAAAGAUAUGGGCUCAAAUUCGAAAUCAAAGAUAUCUACACCCAAGCUAAUGACAGUCUUAGUUCCAAAUCCUGGGGAACUAAAUCCUGGCCCUAUUAAUUGGAAAUAUCCCUGUGGAAACUGUAGUGGUGCGUUCCACAUCUGCAUGAGUACAGCAGAGUCUGCAGUGCACAGAUGAAAGUUGGUGCUGUGCCUUUCCAUUCUAUGAUGCCUCACUAACUCAACAACUAGUAACCUACCAUGGAUCAUAUGUAACAUCGCUAUAAUGCUAGAAGCAGGGUUCUGCCCAUGGGGGAAAAUUCGCGGGGUGUGUACGGGAAGGGGGACACAAAUUUGAACAUGCAUGUGUUGUAAGCAUACAGUACAUUUUUGUACUUGCAGCUGAUUUCUUCAUCACAGGGUCAUAAUCAGUGCUUACUCUCUAGCUUCCUUAGCAGGUUCCUGCAGAGUAUAACUAGCUAGUCAAGAUGCGCAGUAGAGUUCAAUUAAUAGUUAGCUCUAUAUAAGGCACAUCAAGACAGACUAGCAGCUAAACUGGACAAGCCAGUAUGUAAAGCAGUGGCUAAGUGGUGGUCGGAAAAUAUCUAGUGGUGGUCGCAGCUUACCUAAACGACCACUGUAGGCAGAACCCUGUAGAAGUAGCGCUGCUAGCAAGUGAACAACUUAACUCCCUCCUCCCUCCUUAGUGAUGAAAUACUAAACUCAGAAUUUAUACCCAUACCCAAAGAAUACAAUAUAUACAGAAAUAGGCAAGGAGGGUAAUGAUCCGCUUGAAAACAAUAUUCCAGCCAAGCGUCGACGUGAUCUGGAAUGAUCUGGAAACAGAAUGCGAACUCCUCCAAAAUGCACACCUCUACUUGGGUGCCGUCGAGCAUAGAAGAUUUCCAGCACCUACACAACUCACAUCCUUGUGUUGUAUGGAAAGACCAUAAUUAUACUAAAUGUGACAGGCUCUAGGAAAACCAGACUAUUGGAGCAGACUAAAAUUUUGGUGAUUAAUGUACCAAGUGAUAGAGCAGAGCAUUGCCUACACAAUGAUAUGCUUAGUGUUCACAUACCUAGUUUCAUACCCGAGUUAUGUGCGUUGGAAACUCGAAGCCGUAAAAUGUAGUAUCGAGAAAAACGGCUCUCAAAGAUUGCUUAAUUAGGAAAAAUAAGGUAAUAGCAAAAGUUUGGACGAAGCGUUUCGAUGGAAAGAGUUGGAUUUAGAGCAUCAGAUUUUACAGAGAGGUAGUAAAAGGACUGUAGAUACUUAUACAUCAAUAACAUUUUAUUUGAGAUUUUAUACUGUAGGCAUAAAUUUAGCUGUAGCUCAAUACUAAAUUCUGCUCCAAUAGUCUGGUUUUCCCAGAGCCUGUCACAAAUAGCCAAACACGAGAAGGAAGAGUACUAAAAGACCUCCAAGAGGAACAUAACCUUCACCAGAUGGCCAACGAGAAAAGACUACUAAAGAUCAUCUUGAAGUAGUGAACAGUGAUGCAAUCAAUUUCACUGUCAACAUAGCCAAACCUAGACAUAGCCAAACCUAGACACAAAAGGAAAACCUACAGCAGCUUCUUGAUAUGAUCCCAUGGGACUGCUGAAAAUAGCGUAGACUAUAAGUAAGAAAAUACAGUAAGGUCGUUAGGAAACUAACUAGGGAGGAACAUCAAGUACGCCAUCUACGCCAUCUCCACACAGAUCAAGCAAACGGAAGACACUCACAUCUGCAGUGGAUAAGUACUUCGUUUGUUUCCGUAUUUUUUAAAACAAGCAAACUAUCUCUAUGGAGGAAGUCACUAUUGUAGAAGAGGAUGUCCAAUGAAGGCCAUACCAGGGAGGUUAAAGAAGGAGCAAAGCAGCUCGCAAUACCGUUCUAUAACAUCUCACUUCUCACUUCAAACCAGUACAGUGCUCCAACCAAAGAGACUGGAACAGCGGGAUGUAUUAUUUUAGUAUAAUAUUAUAAGACAGAUACCUUGAGUUAUAGCCAGCACAGUACAACAGAAGCAAAGAACCACACAAAACGCCACUUUGUUUUAACGUUUCAAUAGCUUUGACACGCCCUCCAUGAUGUUUGAUUUGACAAUUGUGCAGUUGCAGUAGGCAUCACAGUAGGCAUCACAUGAGCGAUGAUUUUAUGAUGUCACAAAUCAGGGAAAUUAAUUGCUUACGUCAGCAAAAGUAGCAAAACAAGAAAUUUGUGCAAGAAGGGCUGCUCUAAAGAAGGGCUGCUCUAGCAAACGAAGAGACUCUUGCAGUUUCUCUAAAGGAAAACUACACGUACAAAACUUCUAUGCCUAACACAUUUACUACCACAUUUAUUUCUCAGUACUUACUAGUGUCUAAGACUUCCGCUGAGGCUUAAAAGUUGAGCAACAUAUUGUAGUAGUUUAUGCACAAAAAAAUUCAGAUCUUAACUCAGGCUAGUUCUAUGCCUAACAUAUUUUCGUCAGUGCUCUUCUUCAGGAAGCCAUCUUGUAGUGAUGAUGUAAUAUGAUGUAACAGGAGGUGGUCCAAGAGAAGAGAAGCGCCAAUACUUUAUCUUUCAAUACCUGUACUCAUAUUGAACAAAACACUUAUACUUUUAAAGCACUUAUACUUUUAAAGAUAUGAACUGAAAUGUGAAAAAUAAAAUCUUUGGUUGGAGCACUGUACUUUACCAGACGACACAAAAAUGUAUGUCAACCCAGUAUUUUACAACUAUAAUAAUACUAGUGUUCAAGCUGGCGCUGUGCUAAUGCCUCUCGCCAUGUUUUUGCUUUCGCUCAAGAGUGUUAUCUAUAAUGAAUUAAAGUUAGCUUAUCAAAGUCACUGACAAGAAAAGACUUAUUUACAUGCAGCUAUUGUUGUUAUUAUGUGGCUUACCACAGGACCUCAAGAAAAAAGAAAAUUGAUUCUUCCAGGAUCUGUAGUUCAGUGUAUAUAAUAUCUAAGAAGAAAAGACCAAGAAAAGACCUGUGUACUUGUUAUCUACAUGUAUGUAUUAGUUAUUGCCCAGCCAGAGUGCAACAUGCCAUAUAUUGCACUGGAGCAAUAUAAUGCUCGAGGGCCGCAGGCCCCGAGGGCAUUACGUCAUCCAGUGCAAUGAGGGCGCCUGCACCCAAUGACGUUAAACUCGUCUGACUGGUCAUAUAAAUCGUAAUAAAAGACAUGUGUUUUGAAGGAAUUUAGUGGUAAGGUUUUCUUCCCACUAGUAGUUGUAAAAGUAGUAUCGGGACCAACUGAGUAUGGGUGGGCCCAAAUGGAUAUCUCUUAAAGAAAUCUACUGCAUUAUUCAGUGCUAGCCAUGGCAGUGAUGAGCACUGGAUUGCUUUGAUCUGCCCAUCUCAUUUGUUGUGGGGACCUUAGAGAGAUAAAAUUAUUUAAUUCAAUUCAAUUCAAUGUUGUGUUCUGGACAAUGACAUACUACUAUGUAUUAUGUUAUGUAAUAGAUCUUGCAUCUUAAAACGAGAAGCGUGGGUAUAAAAGGGGAAGGGCCCGGCCAAAAAAUGGCAACCAGGACGCGUUUAUUUUUCUCUGCGAGCACUAAGAAAGUCACUUCAUAGCUGCCUUGUACAGCUCUGCCACACUUAUAUGGGCGUAUAGAUGCGCUUCUCAUCAUUGCACACGUAGCGUUGAGUUAAAAAUGGCAACUACUUCUUUGAGAAAGCGUGUGAGAUACACUCUUGAUAUGGACCAAGUGGAGAAAGAAGCUUUCCAGCAGAGGCUAUUGAGGCUAUUGACACCAGCACAACACUCUGUUUCUCCAUCUCUGGCUCUCAUCCCACCCCCCCUGUUAUUAGUGAUUGCUCAGCUGUGAAAUCUUUCAUGACGACUAAGAAUAGCAGCUAAGAAUAGCAAGAGUAAAGAGUAUCGUUCUUAUAGGCGUGUACAAAGACGAACCAACCUGUACCCCAGACAAGGAUUUGGUGAAAGGGCUUGCCACGCCAUGUCAGUGUGGUGCGGCAAGAAGUACCUGGGAGCUUGAAUCUGUUAAACAAGAAACUGUAUAUUUUAUAGAAAGGGCGAGCUCUCUUCCAUUGUCGACAACGACGUGGUCGAGUUCUCGUGUAUUUGCAGGCCAUUUUAGUGAACCAAAAGUAUGAUUUACCCAAUAUUUUCUUCGCCAGGUGUGUUAAUAGUAUCUUUGUGUGCGGAGGAUGGUUCAUGGAUUUACAUGUGCUGGGCUUCUGCCAUCCCAAUAUACCAACUUUACUCAGUUUUGUCGGUUAGGAAACGUUGGGCACAGUUACAUUCGACAAGCAGUUACAUUCGACAAGUGUACCAAAAGCUGGGGUACAUUGAGCACAAGAUGUCUGCUGUGUAUGUCUGCUGUGUAUGAUGUGAUGCAACACCCAGAAUAUAUCGCCAAAGGGGGAGAGGUGUGUUCCUUUGCUGUUGAUGCCUCUUUGAUAUAGUGGGUCAUCACUGAUGCCCUACAUGAGUCAACAGCCAAUGUGUACCACACCACUGUACUUGCUUGUCUGGAAGUACCAAGAAGAUACUUGGUAUCAACUCUUUCCCGGAAUGAUCACUCUACUGCUCAGACAAGGGAACUAGCGUGUACCAAGCUUGUUCUCCUUCAAGUGCAUUGUUAUUACUUGAGCGUACAAUGUACAUGACGUAGGUCUCAAAGUCCUUGAGGUAGCCCAUGACAUGCAGGCACAGGUGUCCAAAUAUGUGACAAAUGAAUUGGGGCUCAUAAAUUCCUACGAUACUUGGCACGGUACAAAAAAUAAGGCCUAGUUAGGGACAGAGGGAAGACGUGGUUCCCAGAACUCACUGACAAACGGAAGAGUAUCAAGAUUUACCUCUACUGGUCAAUGAAGAAUUGUGAGGCCUCUCCUGAUCAACUGCAGGAUUUGAUACUUAACAUUCCAAAUCACUAUAAGCCAAAGGGAGAACACACCAAUUGCCACACAACUUCGUCUUGCCACAUGACGGCUCUACACCCCCAGCAAAGACAAGCUAACCUGUAGUAAGGCCACACAAGUAAGGCCACACAAGCUUUGAUCAAGCACUUGAAGGCAACAUACGUCUACCGAAACGCCCAAUACUUUUGCAGAUGUCGCGAUACAUACUGGGUCGAGUCCUUCAAUCACCAGAUGCUAACACCAGAUGCUAACGUAACGUAUUCACUUUUCGUCGAAGACAUUUUUAAUGCGAAUGAAUUUGGCCGUCCUGGACUGGAAUGAGAAUGUGAAUCGUUCGUACACUAGUAUGAAAAAGGUCCGAGAUCUACGCCGACCUGCAAUGAAGGUGUUGGUGAAGAAGACCUACAAUUUUGUUGAUUUACUGUGGGCUAUGUAUAUUACCCAAAAGAUACAUAGAAUUAGAGGACGAGAGUGACUAUGAAAAGGACAGCUCAGAUAUUGAAGAUGGGCUCCCGAUUAUUCAGACGAUGACAAUUUUGAUGAUAAUUAAUUCUGAGUUUACAUGUACAUAAUUAUACAUGUACUUCUUCACUACUACAUGAUACGUACAGUCACUCAGUGGGGGUGGAUUCGUUCUCCAUAUCUGACGGGUAGUCCGUCUCAGCCUCGAAUGUUGACCGAUCGAUAGUCCCGAUAGGUGCUAGGGUACCUCGACCUAAUCUCCUACAAUGUGUGAAAGGUACAGUGUAAUUAUGUAAUUGCCAAUAUAAGAGUUCACGUACUGUAAUGACACAUUUUGGAAUUAUUUCCCGCCUAUCUUGUAUCGCUGUCCUGCGCUCCUUCCUUUCAAGGUAUUCGUCGUCUACCCACACUCGAUGAGGACCACAAGAUCCUCGCAGGAAGUCUGGACGCAACUGAGUGACACACGGGCAGUGAUUCAUGAACUGGGACCUCUGGGUUGUGUCGGUAUCCACGAGGGUGGCCAGAGAAGUUUUCUAAUGUUGAAUAUCACAUUUCUAGGACUUGAUCUUGCUGUGACUCCGAGUCUGGGGUUUCUGGGUCGUCAGUAGUAAUGGCUCAACUGGACAGAACAAUUUGUCACGAAAGAACUCGCUAGACUGGAAACCACUCUGGGCUCUGGGGACUGGCAAGUUGCCGUGUUGAGAGUUGUCCCGUUGGAAUGCAAUUAGAACAAACCACAAAAUGAGUAAUGCGUGGGUGAUAUUAUUUCAGCCUCGAUAACAGACCGCCAGUGAUGUACUUAUACUCGAGGCCGAUAAUAUUUUUGUGCAGUAAUACAGUCAUGUAGUUAGCGCGUGGGCGGUGUGUGACGUUUACAUUCUUGUGGCAGCGUGACAUUCUUCACGCACUGGGACAACUCUCAACACAGCAGCCCUUUUUCCUGAGAGAAGGGGAGUGGUUUCCACUCGCGGAGUCUCCUAACAAAUGUGUCAGGAAGUUGCUCACCUGUACGGUUCAAAUGAAUUAUUUUGACUUUUUGUAUUGUUUUACUCAUGUAUUGUUUUACUCACUGUCGUUCCAUUGCUACUUGAACUACCUGAAGCCAUUUGUAAAAAAACUUUUUGUCUGCCAUGUGUUCUGGCCGGUAUUUUUUUUAUAAUAUGUGUAAGUUAAUCUAUGUUGCGUAUGUUGGGUGUAUGUAGGUGAGCAAAGAGAGUUUGAAUAAGCUGCCAUUUGCAAAGCGCAUGCUAUGAAUUACCCUUUUAUACGCGUAAUCAGGUACUAAACAAUCGCGAACGUAGAGCAAUACUUUAAAACCCACGCUUCUCGUUUAAACAGUAGUUUACUGUAGCUACUUAUUCUCUCACAAUCCUAGUGGUGACGGUAACAAUCUGCAAUUCAGAAAUCACUCUGCCCACUAUACUAUGGCCGUUAUGUCGGCCACUCAGAGAGUCAUGUGUUAUCUUAAAGAUAAAAGGGGAUAAAAGAUUGUCUUCUUUUGCUACAUUAUGCGCUAUAUGGACAAAGUGAUGCUUCAUCAUACAGCGAAGUCUCUCAACACCAUUCGGUAUGUUUCGAUAUUGAUAUUGAAAUACGCAUGGAUAGACUCCGCUCCUUGCUCUCCUUGCUCUCCCAUCAGUCACUCAACAAUGUGUUUUUCUAAGAUGUGCAUCUUCGGUAUAACUGAUGCACAUGAAUGUUGGGAUGUGGGGAUGUGCGUAUCUGGGAUGUGCGUAUAUGUGCGUAUCUGUACAAAAGAUAUAUUAUUAAAACUUGGCAAGCAUUGACUAAACACUAAUUUAAACACAUUUUCUUUGAAUCUUCUGUAAGUUAAUAAUACGAACCUGGAGAGUUAGAUUUCCAACGAAUGGAAAAUUGUCGAGAGCUGGGCCAUCCUCUUUCUUGAAUCCUUUGAUGAUGGCUAAAUCAUUGGUGUGCACAUACCAGUUUGUUUGCUUGCAGAGCUUUCUCCCGUGCGUCAUGUGAUGAUUUUAUAUCUUGAACAUUCAUGCCCUGGCAAGAAUUUACGGUGUUAGUGGUGAAUUAUGCUUACUGUAAUGAUGAUGUAAUGUCUGUAUUCUAUUUAAUUUUUUUAUGUUUAGUUCUCUUUCUAGAACAUUCUUUGAGUUUUCGUUUGUGUAUAAAUACCCUGUAUGAAUCAGAGUUGAAUUAAAUUGAAUCUUCUCAAGAUAUCACAUUUGGCGACGAGGAUUGUGGCUCACAAUGGCAACCCCUGUGCUCGGAACUCUCACUGAAUUCAAUCCUGACACUCGUUGAUCUCUAGCUACAAAAGAGCCCCUGCACUCUUGACCACUAUUGGUCCAACUACGUAUACUCUAUUGAGUAAACUGUUCGCACUUGCGGAAAUUACUGCUGCUCUAACCAAGCACUUUGAACCAACUCGCCAACUCGGUCUGUGAUCGCUGAACGAUUUCAUUUCCACAGACGGAACCAAACCGCAUCUAACUCGCCGCACUCCGGCAGGCUGCACUUCUUCAUUGCAACUUCGAGGCAUUCCUGGACGAAGCACUACGUGACAGGCUCCUACGCACAGAAAAGAGACUACUGUCUGAAACUGACCUUGGCUCAAGGAAUGGAAGCUGCAGAUCGCAACACUCGCUCAUUAAAAGGCAUCAACUUACUAGUCGUACUGGUGGGAGGAAGCAACCCUGCUCACAAUGUGGAAAGACUACCUAUAUACCAUCAUAUACCAUCUGAAUGCCGUUUUAAAGAUGCCGAAUGCUAUGCUUGUGGGCAAGAAGGGACACAUCACUUCACUUCCCUGAACAUAAUUUCUGUUACAAGUUUACAUCGAAUGUGCAUUAAUAGUCUCUGUACCAUGACUGUAGUAUAAUCAAUGAAAUUUGGAAGCAAAGCAUAUGUUUCAAAUGUUUAUGCAUGCCUCCUCCAACAUGCAAGAUGAUCAACACUGAAACCAUAAUUAUGAACCACUAACUCAGCCAUGAUGUAUUUAAUAGGAUUGGCUUACAUACAAUAAAUUUAUAAGGCUCUUCAUUGAUAGCACCAGGGGCACUCCAGAGGGCCAGGGAGCACUCUUGUGCUCCUGAUAGCACUCUUGUGCUCCUGAUAGCACAAGAAAAUAUAUAGAGGGCGAUCAUAAUUCGAAAGUGCCAAGUCAGCAUAUGGAAACCUUCCUGUUAAUAUCACCAUUCGAUUUUAGUAUGGCGUCUAUGUCCUCCGUCUAUGUCCUCUUCAUAUGAGCAUCGAUCUUUCAGUGAGAGAUCCAGAGUCAGAAAAACGUCAUGUGGACACUGCGAUCAACAACUUUCUAAAACACAGUUUUAUAAGCUCUACUUUGACAGAAAAAAACGUGUUUGGCAGUGUGAAAGUCUGCAAUACAAAGGUGAUUUGGAUCAGAUAGUGAAGACUUCCAUUUCUCUGACUCAAGCCAAUCUUCAUUUUCAUCCCAGGCCCAGUCAUCCCAGGCCCAGUCAUGCCAUGAAAUGGGUUAGUUGCGUAGAACCUUCAGAUCUGUAUUGUAUGGAUGCAAUAGAGCUACUUCAAUAGAGCUACUUCAAUAAGUUUUUUGACAAAUCGUUCAUGUUUCUUCAGACGAUUCAACAACUCCUGAAGUAGAAGUUGAUACAGAGGAUAUGGUAAGCAUUUUAAGUUGUCAGUUAACUGUGUACUAACAUUGCUAAAUUCAGGAUAAUGUUUCUAGAACAGAGAUGUUUCUAGAACAGAGAUUUUGUUUGAAGAUGAAGAGGAAGAGCACUUAACGAAAUACUCAUUGCUUGUGGAAGGGUGUUUGAAAUUCAUUUUUUUAUGGCAGUAUGCUUUCAAGGUCUCGGAUGUUGGACUAUCAAUUCUUUUUGCAUUUGUAGCACAGUCAAUUGAUGUCUUCGCAGCCUCUUAAAGACGUUGCUGCUCAGCUUCCUAAAACUGUAUCGGCUGCUCAGGCAAGAAUAGGAAAGACUGCUGAUAACUUCAAAAAAUAUGCCUGCUGUCCUUCUUGUAGUGAAAUAGACCGAUGUACAGUUGUCAUUGGAGGCUUAGCCAAAUCAAUGAAAUGCCCAUUUCCAGAUCACCCUCAAAGAUGGCAAACUGUAAGAACAUCAUCCGGUAGUACCAUUCUUAAGAUAUAAUUGACUACCUUAAAAAAUUUUUGUCUCAGCCUGAUUUCCAUAGAAAGUGUGAAGAGUGGCGACCACGAAAAACGGAAGCAAAUAUAUUGGCCGACAUAUAUGAUGGUACCAUUUGGAACCAGUUUCAAAUAGUUAAUGGUGUUAAUGGUAUCCCUUCCCUUUCUUAUCGUUACCAUACAACUAUGCACUUAGUUAUAGUUGUGACACAUGCACGAGUGCCACAUGGGAUAUAUUGUCUCAGCCGCAGGCCUCGAGGGCAAAGGCACUACUGAGCCAAUAUAUCCAAUGUGCGCACGAGUGAGCUGUGUAACAACUGAUUUAUUGCAUUCCUUGUGCAUUCCUUUCCGUGUACACAUCACUCCUUUUAUAGGACAACUAGUUUCAACUACUUGUGGUGGCUGUGGAAUGCACCCAGACGCAUGAAAAACGUUUUUUGCCUACCACUGAAUCAGUGUUUAUACUAUAAAAGGGACAGUUUCAGGUUACUGGGUGCAGGGUUACUGGGUGGAGGGUGGGCUUU